UACGAAGGGGGCUAGCGUUGCUCGGAAUUACUGGGCGUAAAGGGCGCGUAGGCGGCCCAACUAGUCAGGCGUGAAAUUCCUGGGCUUAACCUGGGGACUGCGCUUGAUACGGUUGAGCUAGAGGACGGGAGAGGGUCGUGGAAUUCCCAGUGUAGAGGUGAAAUUCGUAGAUAUUGGGAAGAACACCGGUGGCGAAGGCGGCGACCUGGUCCGUUACUGACGCUGAGGCGCGACAGCGUGGGGAGCAAACAGG
rnacentral:rRNA from 1 species